AACGAACGCUGGCGGCAUGCCUAACACAUGCAAGUCGAACGAGACCUUCGGGUCUAGUGGCGCACGGGUGCGUAACGCGUGGGAACCUGCCCUUAGGUUCGGAAUAACUCCCCGAAAGGGGUGCUAAUACCGGAUAAUGUCUUCGGACCAAAGAUUUAUCGCCUUUGGAUGGGCCCGCGUUGGAUUAGCUAGUUGGUAGGGUAAAAGCCUACCAAGGCGACGAUCCAUAGCUGGUCUGAGAGGAUGAGCAGCCACACUGGGACUGGGACACGGCCCAGACUCCUGCAGAAGGCAGCAGUGGGGAAUAUUGGACAAUGGGGGGAGGCCUGAACCAGCUAGGCCGCGUGAGUGAUGUAGGCCGGAGAGAAGUAAAGCUCUUUUACCCGGGAUGAUAAUGACGGUACCGGAAGAAUAAGCUCCGGCUAACUCCGUG
rnacentral:rRNA from 1 species